CGCGUGGCCUAGCGGUUAUCGCGCUUGCCUUCCACGCAAGAGGCCAGGGUUCGAUUCCUGACCGCGG
rnacentral:tRNA from 1 species